UACGGAGGGUGCAAGCGUUAUCCGGAUUCACUGGGUUUAAAGGGUGUGUAGGCGGGCUAUUAAGUCAGUGGUGAAAUCUCCGAGCUUAACUUGGAAACUGCCAUUGAUACUAUUAGUCUUGAAUUUUGUUGAGGCAGGCGGAAUAAGUCAUGUAGCGGUGAAAUGCAUUGAUAUGACUUAGAACACCAAUUGCGAAGGCAGCUUACUAAACAAAUAUUGACGCUGAGGCACGAAAGCGUGGGGAUCAAACAAG
rnacentral:rRNA from 1 species